UCAGGCCUAACACAUGCAAGUCGAGCGAGACCUUCGGGUCUAGCGGCGGACGGGUGAGUAACGCGUGGGAACGUGCCCUUUGGUUCGGAAUAGCCCCGGGAAACUGGGAGUAAUACCGGAUGAGCCCUACGGGGGAAAGAUUUAUCGCCGAAGGAUCGGCCCGCGUUGGAUUAGGUAGUUGGUGGGGUAAUGGCCUACCAAGCCGACGAUCCAUAGCUGGUUUGAGAGGAUGAUCAGCCACACUGGGACUGAGACACGGCCCAGACUCCUACGGGAGGCAGCAGUGGGGAAUCUUAGACAAUGGGGGAAACCCUGAUCUAGCCAUGCCGCGUGAGCGAAAGAGGCCUUAGGGUUGUAAAGCUCUUUCAGUGGGAAGAUA
rnacentral:rRNA from 1 species